rnacentral:rRNA from 1 species
GACAGAGGGUGCAAACGUUGUUCGGAAUUACUGGGCGUAAAGCGCGUGUAGGCGGCUAUGCAAGUCGGAUGUGAAAGCCCUCGGCUCAACCGGGGAAGUGCACCCGAAACUGCAAAGCUAGAGUCUCGGAGAGGAUCGUGGAAUUCUCGGUGUAGAGGUGAAAUUCGUAGAUAUGUGGAGGAACACCAAUGGCGAAGGCAGCCCCCUGGGUCAACACUGACGCUCAUGCACGAAAGCGUGGGGAGCAAACAGG